rnacentral:misc_RNA from 1 species
AACGGUCUAUACCUGCGGUACCUGCGGAGGGAUCAUUAGUGAUUUGGCCUGACGGCCUUUAAUCCAAAUCCUCACACCUGUGAACUCGUGGCUGGGCUCACGCCCGUCGCACACACCACAACUAUGUGUCAUGAACGUGAAAUGCAUAACAAUGUAAACAAAACUUUCAACAACGGAUCUCU